rnacentral:tRNA from 1 species
GCCCAAGUGGCGGAAUGGCAGACGCGCUCGACUCAAACUCGAGUGUCUUAACGGACGUGGGGGUUCAACUCCCCCCUUGGGCA